rnacentral:rRNA from 1 species
UACGAAGGGGGCUAGCGUUGUUCGGAUUUACUGGGCGUAAAGCGCACGUAGGCGGUGUGUCGCGUCGGCCGUGAAAACCUGGGGCUCAACUCUGGGCGUGCGGUCGAUACGGGCAUCACUGGAGUUCGGCAGGGGAGACUGGAAUUCCUGGUGUAGCGGUGAAAUGCGCAGAUAUCAGGAGGAACACCGGUGGCGAAGGCGGGUCUCUGGGCCGAUACUGACGCUGAGGAGCGAAAGCCAUGGGUAGCGAACAGG